UGUUUUGUGAGAAAUUCAUGGCAAUUAAACAGAAGCUAUUGUUUGUUCUAAAUGCUGGAUCUAUAACAAUUAAUCCAUAAAUUAAAUAUUUAAAAAAGAGUGAGGGUAUUUCUUGAAUGUAACCUUGGGGGGUGGUAUUAUAAAAAAAACAUAACGGUAAAUAUUUAAUAUUUUAUGUAUACCGAAUGUCCCCAUUAGAGAGUUUCACUUUAUUACAACAAAUAACAUGAUGGAUGAUUCUAAUAAAUGGGAAAAUAUAUGUAUUUUAUUUUACUUUAAAUGUAUUAAAUUGUUCCACGGGGAUGCUCAUUGAAACACACACACACGCACACACACACAUGCAUAACACGGACGGCAUUGUGCAAGCGGUUAAAAAGUACCACAACAAUAAGUCAUACAUUUUAUUGCAUUCAUAUUCAGCAUAUGUCCUGCAUGUGCAUGCAUGGAUACACAUCUCACGUCCUUCUACACACUAAAUUGUGAGCCCACACAUGCACACACACACACACACACACACACACACACCAUGAAGAACCCCUAAGCCUGCAAGGAGAGAGAGGGGAGAAGAGGACAGGUUAUUGGCCCGUUAAACGCAGAAAGUGCUGAUGCUUGCCAUCGAUUGAUAUCUUUCAUCUGUUCGAUGGAGCGAAUGCAUGCAUAAUCACAAUUACAGAUGGGUCUGAUCUUUAAUCUAAGGCCAAUUCAUUUUUGUCGAUGCCUUUCAUUUAUAUUCAUUAGCUCUUUGAACCUGAAACGGUAGAUUUCCUCUCACGCUGAUAAGGUCAGAUGCUGCUUGCUGUCACAUAACUUUUGGAGUGCAGAGCUCCACCCCCUCUUCGCUACACGCCCUGUUUAUCCAUCCAACCAUCCAUAAAAACAUCCGCAUCUCGGGAAGGUUUCCGUGCCCUUUGCUCGAGGUUACAGAGCUGAACACCUGAACUAAACUUUGUGGGGGAAAUGAUCUGCGUCAUCUUUUUUGACUGGCUCAUUGUGAAUAUCUCUGUUAAAGUCUUUCUUUGGUUUGAAAGUAGUUUCAUCAUAAAAUGCACGACCUCAUAAUAUCCAAAGAGAGCAGAGGAGAACCCAUAAAUUAGCACACGCGUUACUCUUUCAUCAGUGUUGCCAAAGUAAGCCACUGUUUUCUGAAGUGAGGGGAAGCAGAUGAGUAACACUGAGCAUUCAAUCGUUUGCCAACGGGGAGGAAAAAGAAAAAGCUAAAUGAGAGCCCUUGAGGUGUCGCCACUAGUUGAACUCAGCUUUUGCAAAUUGUGUGCGACAGAUGUCUUUGUAACCUUGACGUUUUGAGACGCGCAACAGCAACGUGUCUGUGUUGCUUCCACAGUUGUAAUUUUAGCCUCUGAAAUUGACAGUUUGUGUGACAGAAACAUUUGUGUCUUUCGAUGCUGUCAAGUUGUCAGAGAGCACGGACAUAUUCACCAAGAUCUCUCCGGAGCGGCGACUUGCAAACCCCCCUUUUUGUCUCAUGGCCUUUUCCCUGAAGCUAAACUCAAGCGUGCCGCAUUUUGACAUAUGGGGACUAUUUUUCUCCUGACCUCUGAUUGUCUCGAAGCCAUCACAGCUAGAGUGGUUGAUAAUAUUGACAGAUGCGUUGGGCAGUGAUGAUUGGGCUGUUGAAAAGAUGCUACGCGGGGUAAUAGGAUGGAAAAACACCUCAGGCUAUGAGCAAUAACAACUUUUGAUUGCAUUACAAAAAAAAGAGAAUUGUUCACUGGAUUGUGAAAAAAAUAACCACACACGAUAUCUCAGGACUGCAUUUGAGUAAUUUUCCCAGUGAGGUAGCACGCUGAUUUAGAACGAUAAUGCAACAAAAGGUUCUUUCACAAUUAUCCUCAAAGACGUCUUCUACCAUGCAAACAGAGAUGAUCUUGACUUGACAGGGAAUAUAAGAACAGUCUAAAUAAAGGAUGUGUGUAUUUUUCUAUCUGAAAAGUCAUUUUCCUCAGCGUACCAAACAUAAUGAUGACAAUCAUCCACUGAUGAAAACCAUCAUGAGUUCGACAGCUGGAAAUCUUCUCUGUGAUGGAGCAGCGUUGACGAAAUCACCUGAGACUUUUGAGGAUGUUCUACUUUCACUGAGCCACGACGUCAUAGAGAUCAGAUCCAGCGAUGAAACAGAACGAAUCAUUUCCCUCUCUUUAAACUACUUUGGCGGACGUCUAUCCUCUCAUGUGUUCUUCCCCCACAUUUAAAGCCGAGUCCUGUCUGACUCAUAGAGAAACAAGCUUGUUGCAAACAAUUUGUCAGUUUCGGGUUCUGAAGACGUCAAUCCGUCUUUGUCAACAGAUGUGGGAACGGACUCGGCACAUCACCAAUUAGACGACAUCAGCAGGGGGGGCCGGGUGCCACUUGUUGUGGCAGGAGAAAUUAAUUACUACAUCUAGCCAAGCCGAACAAUAGUCCAUAAUUCUAAUCAUCACUUUUCACGUCAUCGUGACUCCUUCACAAGUCACGCGAAUGACUUAUCAGGAUUUGCAUCUUGCAAACAUUGUCCCUGUGAGUUGACAGCACCGGUGCUCGGAUUCACCCUGAGGUUUGAUUGCCACUUUAAUUACUGUUUUUCUGAUUCAUUUGUCAGCUAAUUAGCCCUGAUUAUGUGACAAAAACAUUGGCUGAUUUUAAUCAUUUCACAACAUUAACCUUCUGGUUGUUAACACCAUGAAUCUCUCCGGUUGAGUGGAAGAGUCACUGAUAUUUGCUUCCCAAGUCUUAAUGAGCCCCCGAUUCAGACGUCCAUGUGUCACAUGAAGCCCGGGCGCCCUCAUUGCAGUUCUUGGUGUGCAUGAGGAUCAUCUGUUGGUCUUACUAAAAGAUAGUGUGACAUGUGUGGUUCAAUAUCAAUAAUUGCUCAUUUGUGUUGACAAAUUUUCAUUGAGAGAGUAAAAGGUUGGGGGUGUAUUCCUGGGAUAAAUUCUGCUUCUGUGUUUUCUUCGACGGGAAAUAGUUGAAUGACAAGUCUUGUUGAACUGAACACGAAAACACUUAUAAUAAGAGAAAUAAUCACCUAAGCAACGUAUCUGAACAAAAAAGAAUGAGGGCGAUAUCCAGAAUACGCAUUUUUCUCAAGCCCUAAAUGUGCAUAAGAGUUUUGACUUUGCGCGUGGUGUUGAGUUUAGUCCCAUGUCUCCCAUAGCCAAGAUGAUUUCUGAUCUAAAUGAGACUUUUUUUCCAUGACCUUCUCUGACUUAGAUAUUCCCGCCAAACAAAAGAGACGGAUUGAGACCGAGACAGAGACAAAAAUAAACUUAAGUUAGUUCUGGGUAAAAAGAACUCCAAGUCCUGGAAAGUCGAUAAGGUUGCGUAACUCAAUUUCCUCCGAGUCCAAGAGUAUCGUGAAGAUAAUGGAUUUCUUGUCAGGGGAACCAGGCCCCAGCUUGGUGUGAGGGGCCACUCACACACAUACAUGCUACACCGUAACACACCAUUUAUGUACUGAGGACUGCUCAAAUGUUGACACAGUAAAAGGAUUACAAUUAUUUUUAUGAAAAAAAUAAACAGGGAAGCGGGAGGGAUACCAGGCAGAGAUAAAAUGAAUUGGGAGGAAAGGAGGAAAUUAAACAGCCAGAAGAAGGGUUGAGAAGAGUGACAGAGAGUGUGAAAGAGAAGAAAAAUGAGCAAAGACAGGAAAAAAGGAGUAAAGGAAAGUCACAUAUGGAGGCAAAUAAAUGUCAAAUAAUAUGUUUAAAUGACAUAUUUAGUAACUGGGAGGGAGGAGAGAACGUUGAAGAGGCAGUAAAACUAUUCUAAGAAAGUAAAUAACUAUAUGAAAGUUUUAAAUAGUUUGAUAAUCUUGCUUGAGGAUGCCGCGGCACGAAUGCAUGCUGAUGGAAAGAGAGAGAGAAAUAAGAGGAGGACUGAACAAAGUGAGACAAGACGGAGAUAGGAGGCAAGCAUCGAUGGAGACUUUCACUGGAGGAUUGAGAUGGACCCUGAGGGACAUCUCGAGGGACCAAGAAUGAUCAGAGAGAAGCGCUGACAGGUGGUCGGCAAUUUCACUUUUUACACAGAUUUCCCGAGGGGGGGGGGGGGGGGGGAGUUCUACAGUAACGAUGAUUUCCCUUAGAAGUUUGCGCCCGCUGAUGAAAAAAUGUGGGAACCACCAGCGGCCUCGACGGGCUUCAUUUGCAUUGUUGCAACGGCUUGCGUCUUUGCUGGCAAUCAGGGAUUGGAGAGACUUUCCUCCCGAGGAAAAGACGGCAUCGGUCACUUCAGCAAACCCCGGGCAUUACGGCGCUGAUGUAACAGCCGCCUCACUUCUGGGGGACUGCUGCUCUGUCACACGACAACAAGAUCAUUGGGUGCAUUGAAACAUUUUGGAUCGGGUCGAUCGGGUCCGGACUCAGUGAGGUCCAUGCAGUGAACCCCAGAAUUGUUUUCCUGAAACCAGAAAGGGGCCCUCUAGCUUUAGAUAUUGUUACGUGUUGUACAUGGAGGAAUAAGACGGUUAUUUGGGCCCAAACCAACCCAUGAAAAACCAAAAGUGCACAGGGGUAUGUUUGGUCAUUUAAUGUCAUGUAUUUAAUAAUAUUAGUUUCCACCACCUCCCAGGGAGCAAUUACUAUGAUAUUUGGAUUUUGGGAUAUUUGGAGUUUUUUCAUUAAGUACAGAAUCUAUCAUACCCAAACGAUUAGAGUAAGUGUACAAUUUAAUAAAUGUGAAAUAUGUAUAAAAUGUUUGAGUUAGUGCAUGUCACUGUUUUCCUAAAAUAAAUAAAAACAUCCUGUAAGAAGUAAGAGUUAAGACAAUUAAGAGUUAAUAACGGCUUACCUCGAGGUGAUGUUGUUGCCGUAGUGAUGAAUCAAUUACAUCUCUAUAUAAACACACAAAUACAGCAGCACAGAACACAUUUAAGUCCAUGCUCAGCUUGGUUUUUUCCAAUGGUACACUUCUCUUUUGCACAUCCUUUGCCUCAGUCUGCGACUUGAUGCGCGUGGUGAGCAGCAAACUACCUCAUGCUGUACAGUACAUCAGCAGCUGGACCAUGUGUGUCAUCCAUACGGGAAUAAGGGAGAAAGAGAGACGGAGCCGAAAGAAAGGGGUGAGAGGCUCUUCACUUUCAUACGGGAGCUGUUAGAUGCUGCUUGUUCAUGUCUACCAAUAAAAUCACUGCAUGUUCAGAGGGCAAAGAUUACGCAUGCACACGAGACACACAGAGAAACACUCGAGUAAUGUUUAUAUAACUGUGAUUUUUCAGAGGUUCAGCUGCACCUAACCAGUUCAAAACUGCACCAUGCGGAAACUCAAACACCACUGCUCCCUUUGGAUGCACAUGAAUUACCCGUUUUUUCCACCACACAGAGUUCAUGUGAAAACUCAUGUUGAAAUUAGUCAAUACAUUUUUUUUAAAGUAUUUACAGAAAGUAAUUUCAUAAACCAUUUAAGUCAUUUUUAAAGACAUGUUGCUGGUCACAAAGGAUCCCUGUGCUAAACUGUUAUGUUCACUUCACCACUGUUGUCUUAUUUCAUGCUCAACAUUUUCACUCAAUAAAAGGACAUUGAAGAAGAAAAAACAGAAAGUGGCCACUUAGCAAACUCUUUAUCUCCUCGCUAAUGGGGCAAUUAGUUAACACAGUUAAAACGCCACUUUUGUAUAAUAUAUUUAUGUCUCAUGACUGUUUAAAACCCAUUACUCUGUUGUGGAAUAGUUUUUACGCUGACAGAAGACAGUAAAUAAAUGUUCAUGAUGCAAUGCUGCUAAUAAGCUACGACUCGAGUCUCCUCAAAAAGGUCAGUGCUGUCAAGACAGAUUAAUGUUAGUCGUUGGUGCCAGUAUGGUUGUAAAAGUUCACCAGAUGUGAACUAUACAAAGAACAUGUGGAUGGAUUUUUUUUUGCCUCUGAUCGUUGCCUUUCCAUGGAAAAAUAAUUAUUUUGCCAAUUGAUUGGUGUUGUCUAUCUUUUAAAAUUAUCGUCAGGAGAAAGAGAUCCUUUGAGUCACCUUAGACCUUUUUUCAAUGAAUAAAAAGGUCAAUAGAUUAAUGAAUAAUGGAAAAAUGUAUCAUGACUGAGAUGAAGUUCCAAAAUGAACAAAAGUUUUAUUAGAUCAUUGCCUAUCGUCUGGGAUGGAACAAGUGACUUUCUCCUAAACACGCAAGCCCAAAAUUCCAAAAGAGUAAGUGAGCGUCUCAGGAGGUAAACUAAGGGGAGUUCAUUGUCUUGAAGUAUCAGCUGGACUUUGCUGAUGCCCAAAAAAGUUACAACCUAUAAAGAUCAAGAUGUAACUGCAGUUCGACCUUCACUCUACAUCCUGUCGUUGCAUUGAGUGUUUUGGCAGACUGGGCAAGAGCCUUGUCGCCUGUGAUGGAAAGGUCUUCCAGGGAGAAAAACAGCUUGCAGUGUCAUCCAGCUCAAGCUUUCCACGGUGGGCAGAUUUCCAGCUGCAGAUAUAAAAGAGUUCAGAGAGAAAAGUGGGUUUUAAAAAAAGCGUCAAGAGUCACAGCGAUGCCGGCAGCAGGUGUUGUGCAACGCGGUCAAAGAUGGCGGAACCUUCCCUCACGAGGGUGCAGCGCAAAACAAAUGGCAAGUCGGAGCGCAAACUAUUUGGCAGAUCUCCACGUCCCGAGGCCAGCGCAGGUGGAAAAGAGCAGCUGCUUGUUCGACAUUUCAAAGGGAAUAAGGACGGAGAGGAAAAGGGGUGACGUGUAAAGACCGAGAGACGUGCUUUGGAGGAGGGGAAUGAAAUACAUUUAUGUUCCUUUAGUUUUUCACACCACACGGGGGACCGAUAGAGUGAUUGUAGCUGAUUGAAAGCAGCUCGUAUACAGCCAGGCGUAAGGUAAAGGAGUACUUGACGACGGUAGGCACCAAGGGGGGGAUGCUGAUUGAAUGUAAUGGUCAGGAAAGUCUGCGAUGAAAAGACUAAAUGGCAGAAGUAAAAUGAAAUGAACGUCGUUGUGGGGAGUUGUAGAUAUGUACCACAGGUGUCCUAUCAAGGUCAUUAACAAGGAGACGUCAUCCCGUUUGAUGUCAUGUUAUAGAGUGAAAGAGAGAAGCUGCAGUGUAUUCGAGAGAAGGAGGACAUCUCAACAGCCUGCAGCUCCAAAACUAAGCAAAUCGACGCCAAAACAGGUCGAUGAACAAUAAAAGUGAGAGGGAAAACAUGUACAUACAAUCUCGGGGGGGAAUGGUCUUUCUACCCAAACCCCCUUUAUAUGGUUCUCCUCUUGUUUACACACAUUGCACCCUUAUUCACAAACAUGCUAAGUUACCAGUAACAUCUAUAGUCCUUGUGUUGUUUUCUCGCUUGUUCCCUCUAUGGCUCCCUUUCUUUCCUUCCUUGUCUACCGCUCUUGUUGUUGGUGUUUUUUUAUCUCUUUCCAAUAAAUCCAAUUUCUCCUCUUGAGCUUCUGUUCCAUCUUCUCUGAGUGAUUUAGGUUCAAACACAGCGUCUCUGCUCCCUGCGGGCCCUUUACAGAAUCAUGUUAGUGACAUUACUGAGCAAGGCCACAUAGGGAUGAUGUUAGUGGAAUGGUUUGGAGUGAAUAAAGAGCAUGUGUGUGUGUGUGUGUGUGUGUGUACAGGGGGGCUGCGCUGUCUGAAUGGAUGUCUGUGUGUUUCAUUAUUUCCAUGUGAAGACAAAUAUCCAGCACCAACAUUGUCACGACUGGGGUUUUUCCAGCAGACCAAGUAGGAACUAAAGAUGAAAAAAAAGACAGGCCGCUUGCCAAAAAGCGGCCGUGUAAAAGGAAGGUGGAUGGUUCAUAAGAAAGGAACUUUGAGUUCCACUUAGCGUGGUGACGGCUGUGAAAGUACUAUUACUGAGGUUAAUUAAGCUCAAAGUGUUCCAGUUGUGCCACACAAUGGCCAGAGGUAAAUUACUUUGGCUCUAUAGGCCAAGUCCCAAGUGUCUGUGGAAAAGGUUGCUUUUAAGGAAAUUAUAGGCAAUAUAAAAUUUGCAAGAUGUGCAUUCACAAUAUACAUCCACACAUUGAAAUUAUGGAUGGAUGCAUAUCUUAAUAUCGGCAUGGGUCCGGUAAAUCCCCUCUUAGUCCGCCUCUAAUACAGUAGAUUUAAAAGUGCAACUCAGAACAAAUCAGCUCUCCCUCCCAACCGAAACGUGGCCAUGUAGAAAUUACACAGAAAAUACCGGCUCCAUCAUAUCGCAGCCAUGAGAGAAAGAACCAUCAAUUAGAGCCCGAUGACAGCUGAGUAAUGUACACUGCAGCUCGCCCUCGGGCUCUGAAUGCGCAGUAUGUGAGAGCAUGCUCCUCCUCUGUGUGCUUACUCCCCUGUGUGUGUGUGUGUGUGUGUGUGUGUGUGUGUGUGUGUGUGUGUGUGUGUGUGUGUGUGUGUGUGUGUGUGUGUGUGUGAGCGCACAGGUCUACUACCGCUCAGCCCCACAGCCACUGGCAGGUAAUGAGAGCUUUAUGUGUUUUCAUUACUUUGUGCCAGACCACAGAAUCACUCUGAGGUCUGUUGGCAGAGACAGAGGCUGGAGGAAGGCAGUCAAAUCAGAUUAAGGGGCUGAGAUAUAUGGUACCACAGGUGAGCAGGUGUACUGACUCAACUAACAAAGGCCGACUCGCGGGAGCAGCACACACAAACACUCACACGCCGGCAUCACUACAGCUCUGUGUGUAUACAAACACAAACACAGCACGUGCAGCACAGGCAACGUCUGAUGUGCUGAAGAAUUUACAUGGAACUGUUUUCAUUCAACACAUUCAAAAGAAUGAAAUCUGUUGAUUAAUCCAAAAAUCCCAUAUUUUCUGUCUUUCUGUCAACGCCCAACAGAAUUGUUGCCAUGACUACAGCAGUGUUAUUUAGGCUAAGUGGGUUGUGUUUGAGAUAACGAAAGCCUUAGCGCUAAUUCGUAAUUUUAGA
ensembl:lncRNA